rnacentral:rRNA from 1 species
AUUGAACGCUGGCGGCAGGCUUAACACAUGCAAGUCGAGCGGGGAAAGGUAGCUUGCUACUUAACCUAGCGGCGGACGGGUGAGUAAUGCUUAGGAAUCUGCCUAUUAGUGGGGGACAACAUCUCGAAAGGGAUGCUAAUACCGCAUACGUCCUACGGGAGAAAGCAGGGGACCUUCGGGCCUUGCGCUAAUAGAUGAGCCUAAGUCGGAUUAGCUAGUUGGUGGGGUAAAGGCCUACCAAGGCGACGAUCUGUAGCGGGUCUGAGAGGAUGAUCCGCCACACUGGGACUGAGACACGGCCCAGACUCCUACGGGAGGCAGCAGUGGGGAAUAUUGGACAAUGGGGGGAACCCUGAUCCAGCCAUGCCGCGUGUGUGAAGAAGGCCUUUUGGUUGUAAAGCACUUUAAGCGAGGAGGAGGCUACCGAGAUUAAUACUCUUGGAUAGUGGACGUUACUCGCAGAAUAAGCACCGGCUAACUCUGUGCCAGCAGCCGCCGUAAGAC